rnacentral:rRNA from 1 species
UACGAAGGGUGCAAGCGUUACUCGGAAUUACUGGGCGUAAAGCGUGCGUAGGCGGUUUGUUAAGUCUGUCGUGAAAGCCCCGGGCUCAACCUGGGAAUGGCGAUGGAUACUCGGCGAGCUAGAGUACGGUAGAGGAGAGUGGAAUUCCCGGUGUAGCAGUGAAAUGCGUAGAGAUCGGGAGGAACAUCAGUUGCGAAGGCGGCUCUCGUGGACCAGUAGCGUGACGCUGAGGCCACGAAAAGGCCGUGGGGAGCGAACAGG